ACCAGCGAAGGCCCCCUUCCCUCCCCUCCCACUCCAGACUGACAGGGCAUUUGGUGGUGUGUGUGUGUGUGUGUGUGUGUGUUUGUACAGGUAUCAGUUAUUUAUGAUGAUUGAUGAUAAUUUUAUUUUAAUUAAUUACAUUUAUUUUAAUUAAUCUAAUUAAUUAUAAUUACUUACAAAAUAUAAUUAUAAUUUUAAUUGUAAAUAUUAUAAUUUAUAAAUGUCCCAGGUCCCCGUCUGUGCAUGUAUCUGUACAUUUAUCCGUGGACUGGGCACCACGCGAAAUUCCAUGCCUUUAUUUUUGUACAAUAAAACGUGAAACUGUUCACAACGGGAGAAAAUAUGGCAAAAUAAAUAACGGAAACCACUUUUCAUUGACUUCUCAGGUCAUUUGACCUGACCCCAAGUCUCGGUGGUCAGCCCUUCGGCUAACUACUGAUGGUAUAAAGAGAUUAGUUUUACAGUUAUGCACUGAUUUCCUUAU
rnacentral:lncRNA from 1 species